UGUAAGCGUAUACCAAAGUUGUUGCAGUUAAAACGCUCGUAGUCGGAAUUUGGCAGUUCCGGAUGUGUGCACGUCGUGUCCGCACUUCGCGGGGAUUGCUUUUGUGGUCUUGCGUAGGAUGAGGCACUUUUAUUAGUGAACGUCCUCACGCAACCACUUUUUACUGUGAGAAAAUCAGAGUGCUCAAAGCAGGCAUUUGCCGUGAAUGUAUUAGCAUGGAAUAAUAGAAUAGGACUUGGUUCUAUUUUGUUGGUUUGUUGGGACUGAGUAAUGAUUAAGAGGGACAGUUGGGGGCAUUUGUAUUUCGGUGCUAGAGGUGAAAUUCUUAGAUUACCGAAAGACAAACUGCUGCGAAAGCGUCUGCCAAGGAUGUUUUCAUUGA
rnacentral:rRNA from 1 species